AACUGAUACUACCUGCGGGAACCUGCGGAGGGAUCAUUACCGAGUUUACAACUCCCAAACCCCUGUGAACAUACCAAUUGUUGCCUCGGCGGAUCAGCCCGCUCCCGGUAAAACGGGACGGCCCGCCAGAGGACCCCUAAACUCUGUUUCUAUAUGUAACUUCUGAGUAAAACCAUAAAUAAAUCAAAACUUUUAGCAAUGGAUCUCU
rnacentral:misc_RNA from 1 species